ensembl:lncRNA PLAC9P1 placenta associated 9 pseudogene 1
GGCUCGGACUGAGAGCAUUUCCUUCUGGGCCGGCCGGGCGCGAUCCGGGAAGGGCGGCUGCGGUCGCAAGCCGCGCUGCUUUCAGCCAGGCUGGCACCAUGCGGCCCCUGCUUUGCGCGCUGGCCGGGCUGGCCCUGCUCUGUGCCGUGGGCGCUUUGGCCGAUGGUAGAGAAGACCGUGGAUCACCUGGGGACACAGGUGAAAGGCCUGCUGGGCCUGCUAGAGGACCUGGCCUGGAACCUGCCCGGGGGACCCUUCAGCCCCGUCCCCGACCUCCUCGGAAAAGAUGGCUUCUGAGCCCCGGAGCUGGAGCCCAGCAGCUGGAGGUGGUGCACCUGCCAGGCAGCACCCUCUGAUAGCCAGCGCUGUCCUCUCGCCUUCCUUCCUCAGCUUCGUGUGAAAUAAAAGCUACUGUUUUUGGUCUC